GAUCAGGUUGCCGAGUGGCUAAGGCGAUGAACUGCUAAUCCAUUUGGGUUUUCCCGCGUGAAUUCGAAUGUCAUCCCGAUUC
rnacentral:tRNA from 1 species